UCAACAGCGAAGAAGCAGCAGCACAUACGAUCUAGCUGCUCUCAAGUAUUGGGGACCCGACACACCAUCUUGAAUUUUUUGGUAAACCGAAAAAAGAAAUCAGAUUGAUGGGGUUUGAUGAUGCAUGUUGUUAUAGAAUUAGUUUGGUUUGUAUCUCGCCGAUCGUGGUGGUGGCGAGUUUAAUAAAAAUAUGUAGGCAUGGCCAUUUUACUCUCCCUAUAUUGACAAAAUGUUUAUGUCACCAAAUCAUUGGGGUUUCUUUUAUUUAAGCAUGGAUUCAAAUGCAGGAUUGUAGGCGUGGCAAAGCAUGGGGAAUUGCUCAAAAAGAUGUUGGCUAGGAUAGAGUAAGAACAUAGAUUGGUUAUUGAUUUCUUUCAACCGGAGGUUUGGCACUUCUUCAUGUAGUUCUUUUAAGUUGAGAUUGCUUCAUAAAAUUCUUGAUGGACGACAUGGAAAAGAUGAAGAAACAGAAAGAAAGAGAAGAUGUGUGAACUGAAUAUGAAUCUUAGCAAAUUUGGAGAACAAAUUGGUAGUGGAAGUACGAAGAAACCCGCAGAGGGGAAACAUAAGCUAGAGGAGAGAGUCCUCAAAUCAAUUGUAGGGUAUUUCAAGGGUAGUGUUCUUGAUAUGCAUUUGCUACAUUCUUGUUCUUGAAGAACUAACGACAGAGAUAAGAAGAUUACCAAUUACGGUAAGACCAAGAUCUGAGGAGAAAUUGGAGGAGACAAAGAGAGUAGAGGACAAAAGAAAAGAGACAAUAAGAGGAAAGGCAACUAACCGUGGUAACGAAAAGUCAAAAAUAAAAAUUACUAUAACACCAUGUAUUCUAUAAUUUAGAGUUAUAAGUAACUAAGAGUGGUCCAUAUUCACCUACAAUUACAAGUUUUUAUGAACUGUUUACCAUAUUCAUUCAAAAAAUUCCAUAACAAAGCCUGGUCC